GUUGGCAGUGAGUGAGGCUAAGGCAGGUUCCCUUCCUGCCCCGGCCCCACAUCACUCCCGGAAGAGGCCAACAUACCCCUCUGGCUCCUGGGGG